UACGAAGGGGGCUAGCGUUGCUCGGAAUCACUGGGCGUAAAGCGCACGUAGGCGGCUCUUUAAGUCAGGGAUGAAAUCCUGGAGCUCAACUCCAGAACUGCCCUUGAUACUGAGGAGCUUGAGUCCGGGAGAGGUGAGUGGAACUGCGAGUGUAGAGGUGAAAUUCGUAGAUAUUCGCAAGAACACCAGUGGCGAAGGCGGCUCACUGGCCCGGUACUGACGCUGAGGUGCGAAAGCGUGGGGAGCAAACAGG
rnacentral:rRNA from 1 species